rnacentral:rRNA from 1 species
AUUUUGGGGGAUUUUUACCAAAUGGGUGAAACCCUGACGGACCAAUUCCGCGGGGGGGAGGAAGGUUUUUGGUUGGUAACCUUCUUUUCUCGGGGAAGAAUAAUGACGGUACCUGAGGAAUCAGCAUCGGCUAACUCCGUGCCAGCAGCCGCGGUAAUACGGAGGAUGCAAGCGUUAUCCGGAAUGAUUGGGCGUAAAGCGUCCGCAGGUGGCAAUGUAAGUCUGCUGUCAAAGCGUCUGGCUCAACCAGAUAAAGGCAGUGGAAACUACAUAGCUAGAGUAAGGUAGGGGUAGAGGGAAUUCCUGGUGUAGCGGUGAAAUGCGUAGAGAUCAGGAAGAACACCGGUGGCGAAAGCGCUCUGCUGGACCCUGUCUGACACUGAGGGACCAAAAGGCAAGU